AUUCCAGCUCCAAUAGCGUAUAUUAAAGUUGUUGCAGUUAAAAAGCUCGUAGUUGAACUUCUGUCCAGGUUCGUCUUGGCUCGCCAGGACAAUUCUGGACAUACGUCUGCAAGCUAAAAUCGGCCUUCACUGGUACGACUUAGUAAGUAGACAUUUUACUGUGAAAAAAUUAGAGUGUUUCAGGCAGGUUUUAGCCCGUAUACAUUAGCAUGGAAUAAUGGAAUAGGACUAAGUCCAUUUUAUUGGUUCUUGGAUUUGGUAAUGAUUAAUAGGGACAGUUGGGGGCAUUAGUAUUUAAUAGUCAGAGGUGAAAUUCUUGGAUUUAUUAAGGACUAACUAAUGCGAAAGCAUUUGCCAAAGAUGUUUUCAUUAAUCAAGAACGAAAGUUAGGGGAUCAAAGACGAUUAGAUACCGUCGUAGUCUUAACUAUAAACUAUACCGACUCGGGAUCGGCUGGAAUACAUGUCCAGUCGGCACCGUAUGAGAAAUCAAAGUCUUUGGGUUCUGGGGGAAGUAUGGUACGCAAGUCUGAAACUUAAAGGAAUUGACGGAACAGCACACCAGAAGUGGAACCUGCGGCUUAAUUUGACCCAACACGGGGAAACUCACGAGCGCAAGACAGAGAAGGGAUUGACAGAUUGAGAGCUCUUUCUUGAUUCUUUGGGUGGUGGUGCAUGGCCGUUCUUAGUUGGUGGAGUGAUUUGUCUGGUUAAUUCCGUUAACGAACGAGACCUUAACCUGCUAACUAGUCGCGUUUUGAACAAAGACGUGUACUUCUUAGAGGGACUAUUGUGCAAGAAGCCAAUGGAAGUUUAAGGCAAUAACAGGUCUGUGAUGCCCCUAGACGUGCUCGGCCGCACGCGCGUUACAAUGACUGGCGCAGAAAGCAUUUCCUGACCUGGGAAGGUUCGGGUAAUCUUAUUAAUACCAGUCGUGUUAGGGAUAGUUCUUUGGAAUUUUGGAUCUUGAACGAGGAAUUUCUAGUAAGUGCAAGUCAUCAGCUUGCGUUGAUUAUGUCCCUGCCGUUUGUACACACCGCCCGUCGCUUGUAGUAACGAAUGGUCUGGUGAACCUUCUGGACUGCUCAGCAAUGAGCGGAAAAAUAAGUAAACCCUACCAUUUGGAACAACAAGAAGAG
rnacentral:rRNA from 1 species